rnacentral:rRNA from 1 species
CCUACGGGAGGCAGCAGUGGGGAAUAUUGGACAAUGGGGGGAACCCUGAUCCAGCCAUGCCGCGUGUGUGAAGAAGGCCCUCGGGUUGUAAAGCACUUUCAGUGAGGAAGAACGCCUGGUGGUUAAUACCCAUCAGGAAAGACAUCACUCACAGAAGAAGCACCGGCUAACUCCGUGCCAGCAGCCGCGGUAAUACGGAGGGUGGGAGCGUUAAUCGGAAUUACUGGGCGUAAAGCGCGCGUAGGUGGCUUGAUAAGCCGGUUGUGAAAGCCCCGGGCUCAACCUGGGAACGGCAUCCGGAACUGUCAAGCUAGAGUGCAGGAGAGGAAGGUAGAAUUCCCGGUGUAGCGGUGAAAUGCGUAGAGAUCGGGAGGAAUACCAGUGGCGAAGGCGGCCUUCUGGACUGACACUGACACUGAGGUGCGAAAGCGUGGGUAGCAAACAGGAUUAGAUACCCUUGUAGUC